UACGUAGGGAGCAAGCGUUGUCCGGAAUCAUUGGGCGUAAAGAGCUCGUAGGCGGCUUGUCGCGUCGUCCGUGAAAACCUGCAGCUCAACUGCAGGCUUGCGGUCGAUACGGGCAGGCUAGAGUUCGGUAGGGGAGACUGGAAUUCCUGGUGUAGCGGUGAAAUGCGCAGAUAUCAGGAGGAACACCGGUGGCGAAGGCGGGUCUCUGGGCAGUAACUGACGCUGAGGAGCGAAAGCGUGGGGAGCGAACAGG
rnacentral:rRNA from 1 species